CCAGCAGCCGCGGUAAUUCCAGCUCCAAUAGCGUAUAUUAAAGUUGUUGCAGUUAAAAAGCUCGUAGUUGGACUUCUGGGAGGAUGCCGCUGUCCGCCUUCAACGGUGUGUGCAGCAGCGCCCUUCCAUCCUUCUGUCAACGAUUCUCGCGGGUCAAACCGUGGUCUCGGGCUCAGAUAUUUUACCUUGAGAAAAUUAGAGUGUUUCAGGCAGGCUUGCGCCGGAAUACAUUAGCAUGGAAUAAUAGAAUAGGACUCCAGUCUCUUUGUUGGUUUCUGAAAUUGGAGUAAUGAUUAAUAGGGAUAGUUGGGGGCAUUAGUAUUUAAUUGUCAGAGGUGAAAUUC
rnacentral:rRNA from 1 species